AGUGGGGAAUAUUGGACAAUGGGCGAAAGCCUGAUCCAGCAAUGCCGCGUGAGUGAUGAAGGCCUUAGGGUUGUAAAGCUCUUUUACCAGGGAUGAUAAUGACAGUACCUGGAGAAUAAGCUCCGGCUAACUCCGUGCCAGCAGCCGCGGUAAUACGGAGGGAGCUAGCGUUGUUCGGAAUUACUGGGCGUAAAGCGCGCGUAGGCGGCUCAGCAAGUCAGGGGUGAAAUCCCGGGGCUCAACCCCGGAACUGCCCUUGAAACUGCUAGGCUAGAAUCCUGGAGAGGCGAGUGGAAUUCCGAGUGUAGAGGUGAAAUUCGUAGAUAUUCGGAAGAACACCAGUGGCGAAGGCGACUCGCUGGACAGGUAUUGACGCUGAGGUGCGAAAGCGUGGGGAGCAAA
rnacentral:rRNA from 1 species